UAACAAGGAUUCCCCUAGUAACUGCGAGUGAACCGGGAAAAGCUCAAAUUUUGAAUCUGGCGGUCUUUAUGGCCGUCCGAGUUGUAAUCUAGAGAAGCGUCUUCCGCGCUGGACCGUGUAUAAGUUUCCUGGAAUGGAACGUCGUAGAGGGUGAGAAUCCCGUCUUUGACACGGACUGCCAGGGCUAUGUGAUGCGCUCUCGACGAGUCGAGUUGUUUGGGAAUGCAGCUCAAAUAGGGUGGUAAAUUCCAUCUAAAGCUAAAUAUAGGCGAGAGACCGAUAGCGAACAAGUACCGUGAGGGAAAGAUGAAAAGAACUUUGGAAAGAGAGUUAAACAGUACGUGAAAUUGCUGAAAGGGAAACGCUUGAUGUCAGUCGCGUUCGUCGGGGAUCAGCCUUGCUCUUUUGCUCGGUGUACUUCCUGGCGAACGGGUCAGCAUCAGUUUUGUUCGUCGGAAAAUGGCUCGAGAAAUGUGGCACUCUUCGGGGUGUGUUAUAGACUCGGGUCGAAUACGACGUUCGGGACUGAGGAACUCAGCACGACCUUCGGGUUCGGGGCUUAGGCCCACGUUAACGUGCUUAGGAUGCUGGCAUAAUGGCCUUAAGCGACCCGUCUUGAAACACGGACCAAGGAGUCUAACUCGCAUGCGAGUGUUUGGGCGAUUAAAACCCGAGCGCGUAAUGAAAGUGAAAGUCGAGACCCCUGUCGUGGGGGGCAUCGACGCCCGGACCAGAGCUUCUGCGACGGAUCUGCGGUAGAGCAUGCGUGUUGGGACCCGAAAGAUGGUGAACUAUGCCUGAAUAGGGUGAAGCCAGAGGAAACUCUGGUGGA
rnacentral:rRNA from 1 species